CAGCCCUGUCGGGCGAUUCCAGUCAACAAUACCACCUGAGUGCUCGCUUCUGAAGUAAACUAGCAAGUCAUCUCUCCUAGUGCUUUUUCCUUCCAAGAAAAUAUAACUCCACUGAGCUGGUUGUUAGUUCACUCCACUUUGUUUGAUCAAAGGGAACAGGGAGUCCUUUGAGAACCUCUCUUGGGUGGAAGGGCAGGCCCGCAUCUGCUGAUUAUCUACCCCCACGCCUCAUGGCACCCAACUGUGUCCUGGUGAGAAGCUGUAGAACUCCAUGAGCCAAUCUUCAAAUCUGACAGGGAUAGCGCCCAUGGAAUGAGGGGCCAUGUGCAGGCACAUUUCCCCGGAAGAUCUGUGGCUCACGUGUGUUCGUAUUUUCAACUCAGGAGCCCGGUUUUCAGCUUCUCAGGUCUAAGCUUCCUGUAUGCUGGGGCUCCUGCAGUAGGAGAGUGACCAGUAUAAACUGAGCUCAAUUCUAAGCAAGACAAGGGAAAUAAGGUUGCAAAGGGAGAGCAAAGAGGGAGCUGUCAGGAAGUAUGAAAGCAGGAACCAAAAGAAAGUAGGGGGCUACAGAGAAAUUGCACAAGAAAAAUUACAGAAAGAGAACUAGACUAUACUACCUGUUGCCUGCAAUGAUAAAAUGAAGAUGAAGAGAUGAAAAGAAAUACCCCCUGCCUCAGCCAUGAAGCCUUCACUGUAGAAACAACACAUGUGCUGACUGUCCCCUGGAACGGCCUCUCUCUUCAGGCCAACACAGUCCAUUUUGGUUCUGCCAACCUGCUGACCAACCCCAAUAGAUGGAACGAAGGAAGAGAAAGCUGAGGGGGAGGAGCCAAGAUGGCCGAAUAGGAACAGCUCCGGUCUACAGCUCCCAGCGUGAGCGACACGGAAGACGGGUAAUUUCUGCAUUUCCAUCUGAGGUACCGGGUUCAUCUCACUAGG